rnacentral:rRNA from 1 species
GGAGAAGCAGGGGAUCGCAAGACCUUGCGCUUUUGGAGCGGCCGAUGCCUGAUUAGCUUGUUGGUGAGGUAAAAGCUCACCAAGGCUCCGAUCAGUAGCUGGUCUGAGAGGACGACCAGCCACACUGGGACUGAGACACGGCCCAGACUCCUACGGGAGGCAGCAGUGGGGAAUUUUGGACAAUGGGGGCAACCCUGAUCCAGCCAUGCCGCGUGAGUGAAGAAGGCCUUCGGGUUGUAAAGCUCUUUCAGCCGGAACGAAACGGUCACGGUCAAUACCCGUGACUACUGACGGUACCGGAAGAAGAAGCACCGGCUAACUACGUGCCAGCAGCCGCGGUAAUACGUAGGGUGCGAGCGUUAAUCGGAAUUACUGGGCGUAAAGCGUGCGCAGGCGGUUUUGUAAGUCAGAUGUGAAAUCCCCGGGCUUAACCUGGGAACUGCGUUUGAAACUACAAAGCUAG